AUUGAACGCUGGCGGCAAGCCUAACACAUGCAAGUCGAACGAGUGGCGGACGGGUGAGUAACACGUGGGAACCUACCCAUCAGAGGGGGAUAACACUUGGACACAGGUGCUAAUACCGCAUCCUGAUGGCUGGACCCGCGGUGCCUUAGCUAGUGGGUGAGGUAACGGCGAACCAAGGCCACGAUGCAUAGCCGACCUGAGAGGGUGAGCGGCCACACUGGGACUGAGACACGGUCCAGACUCCUACGGGAGGCAGCAGUGGGGAAUAUUGCACAAUGGGCGAAAGCCUGAUGCAGCCAUGCCGCGUGUAUGAAGAAGGCCUUCGGGUUGUAAAGUACUUUCAGCGGGGAGGCGUUACCCGCAGAAGAAGCACCGGCUAACUCCGUGCCAGCAGCCGCGGUAAUAC
rnacentral:rRNA from 1 species